rnacentral:rRNA from 1 species
ACGCUCGACACCUACGGGGGCAGCGGUAGGGAAUCUUCCACAAUGGACGCAAGUCUGAUGGAGCAACGCCGCGUGAGUGAAGAAGGUCUUCGGAUCGUAAAACUCUGUUGUUAGAGAAGAACACGAGUGAGAGUAACUGUUCAUUCGAUGACGGUAUCUAACCAGCAAGUCACGGCUAACUACGUGCCUGCAGCCGCGGUAAUCUGAGCGGGCUGGCAAGGC